rnacentral:pre_miRNA from 1 species
AGUGAGACUACUGGGUCACAUAGUAAGUGUACAGUUUUAUAAGGAACUGCCAAAUUAUUUUCCAAAGUGACUGUACUAUUUUGCAUUCCCACCAGUGGU